UUCGCUGACGAGUGGCGGACGGGUGAGUAAUGUCUGGGAAACUGCCUGAUGGAGGGGGAUAACUACUGGAAACGGUAGCUAAUACCGCAUAAUGUCGCAAGACUAAAGAGGGGGACCUUCGGGCCUCUUGCCAUCGGAUGUGCCCAGAUGGGAUUAGCUAGUAGGUGGGGUAACGGCUCACCUAGGCGACGAUCCCUAGCUGGUCUGAGAGGAUGACCAGCCACACUGGAA
rnacentral:rRNA from 1 species